UUGAUUAGUUGAAAUAACAUUUACAAUUUUCACAUUCUAAUCAUCCUGCAUGUACUCGACUGUACCACAUAAAGUUAAAAUGACAACAUUUCAUCUCUUAUUCCUCACACUUGUGGUCAGUGGAAGUCUGUGUCGUCAUUUGGUGAGCAGAACUAAAGAUGGGACAGAAAUUGAGCUGUUUGACUCCAGCCACAUCCAACCGUACGUUCAUCAUACUGAUGAUUACGGCCAGAAGCCUGUCCCUCUCCCUGCACCACCCAUCGCAGGAAGUCAUUAUUAUCCAAACCUGGAGAAUGAAUACUUUUAAAAGAAAAUUAUUCACAGCAGCCGCACGGUGUAUGAGUGGUGAGCAUGUUGGCCCUGGGUUUGAUUCUCCAUUUGGGCAUCUCUGUGUGGAGUUUGCAUGUUCUCCCCCGUGCGGGCGUGGGUUUUCUCCAUUGGAAUAGCAUGAGUGUGAAUGUUGUUUGUCUAUAUGUGCCAUGUGAUUGGCUGGCGACCAGUCCAGGGUGUAUGCUGCCUCUCGCCCAAAGUUACCUGGGAUAGGCUCUGGCAUACCGCCUGCAACCCUUGUGAGGAUAAGCAUGAAAAUGGAUAAUGGAUGAUUCACAGCAUGGCAGAUGCUCCUAAUCGCUUUUACUACCUUUGUUCAGCCAUUCUAUGGAUGCUGUUGUUGCUACCUGUUGUGUUCAAUA